AAGUUAUAGUUUUUGUUAUAUUUUAGAUUUAGAUAAUUGUAAUAUUUACCAAAUGAUAAUGGCCAACAAGUGAAAUACCCGGACGAUGCUGUGGAUAUAAAAAUAUUUUUAUAAUAAAUUUUAGUUUUUUAAUAUUUUUAUAUAGUUUUAUAAAUCUAACUAUUAAUUAAAUAAAAGUUAUAUAAAAAUAAUUUAAUAGUUAAAUCUGUUUAAAUAAAAGUCAUUAAAAUUGGUAUAUGCGCAAAGUAAAUUAUACAAUAAUAAUUUAUUUUAUAAAAAUUUAUAUGAAAAGAAUUUGAGAUAAAUCUAUCAAAAUAAUUAAAAAAAAUCGAUAAAUAGAAGUAAAAUAAAAUUGUAGAAGAUAUUGUUUAAUAAAAUUAAUAAUAUAUACACACAUGCACAAUAUUUCUAAAAUUUUACCCCUGAAAUUUAAAUUCCAUAUUAUUUUUAUACGAUAAAAUUUUACGUGAUUUAAAUUUUAUCUAUCAAGUUAGAUUUUAUCACGCGAUUUAUUAUGUGUAUUAUUAAUUAUUAAUAAAAUUAAUUAAUUAUAUUAUAUAUAUAACUAAUUAUUAAUAAAUUUAAUUAAUUAAUUAAUUAAUUUCAUAGAGUUUAGAGAUUUAAA
rnacentral:lncRNA from 1 species